UACGUAGGGUGCAGGCGUUAAUCGGAAUUACUGGGCGUAAAGCGUGCGUAGGCGGUCUGUUAAGACAGGUGUGAAAUCCCCGGGCUUAACCUGGGAACUGCGCUUGUUACUGGCAGACUUGAGUGUGGCAGAGGGGGGUGGAAUUCCACGUGUAGCAGUGAAAUGCGUAGAGAUGUGGAGGAACACCGAUGGCGAAGGCAGCCCCCUGGGCUAACACUGACGCUGAUGCACGAAAGCGUGGGGAGCAAACAGG
rnacentral:rRNA from 1 species